UUUACAACUAAAUGGAGUAUUUUGAACAACGGACUGAGGACCAUCCAAUCUUUUGGAAGUUACCAGAGAGACUUUUGCAAGCCAGCAUGAUCACUGCUACGAUCCUGAUCUAUGAACACUGACAAUCACUUGCUCUCAAAUGGACUUGUGAAGGAGACAUCCUAGCCAGCACAAAAACCAGAGAUGAAGGGAAUCCUGCUGCUUUGUGAAACAGAUUUAAUACACAGAGAGACAAG